CCGUUCGAUUUUUAUAAUCGGAUUUGACACCAUACAGUUGAGUUGUAGUGGUUUCUAUGUGGUGUAUACAUUGGAUUUAUCCAACGUUUGCGUCAAAUUGUAUGCGUAGACUUUCCAGAAAUAGUGACAAAAGUACUGAUGCAAUGACGCUGUCGGUUGCCCGCCAUCCACCACCAACGCCCAUCCUUGCAAGGCGAUCUUUGCAAACUGUUAAGGCACUCAGCUGCCUCUGGUGGAUGAAUUGCCGUGUCGGCUCACAAUGUGUAACUCACUAGGACAGACAUCUACUUUAAUAAAGCAGUUGGUGGCUCCUGA